AAAAAAAAAAAAAAAAAAGAAUGAUCUUGGCAAAAGCUGCAAAAACUCAAAGGGCAAAGAGGGGCUGAGUGUGGCCUCUGCUGUAAGUCAUUCAUGCAUUCCAUGCAUUGAAGCACCGUGCUGGGGGUCAUUGCAGCCUGUUUAACUCAGUAUUAUUUUUCUUCUUUUUCGUUUUUGCCGGCUGUUCAACUCAAUUGUCACAUGUUCCUUCAUUUCAACAAUACACAGAAUGAUAGAGCAGUUCAGAGAAAGAUCGACAGAAAGAGAGAAAGAAUGAACUUCUGAGAGGUCAGGACAUUUUUUGCACAAAGGAGGACACCGAGCUGGCUUUGAAGCAUGAAAAGGACCUUCCCAGACAGUGGAUGUGGGAACAGGUGUGGGACUUGCAGGCAGAGAGACCGGCUGGAGACGAGUGUGAUGUGAUGAGCCGUGGAGUGUAGGGGAUGUCAUGGGACAUCAGUCUGGAUGGAUGGCUGUUCCCGGGGUGUCCACUAGGAACCAGACAUGGCACUAGUGCAACUGUAAUGAUAGUGAACCUGGCUGAGUUGCAUCCUCCCAAAAUUCAUACACUGAAGUCCUAACCCUCAAUAUUUCAAAAUGUGACUGUACUUGGGGAUAGAGUCUUUAAAGAGGUUAUUAAGUUAGAAUGAGGUCAUUGGCAGCCCUAAUCCUACAGGACAGGUGCAGAUGAGGAGAGAAGAGGAAGUUAGAACCAGGCACAUGAGAGGAGGACCAUGUGAGGACAUAGGGAGAGGACAGCCACCUGCAAACCAAGGGGAGAGGCCUCAGGGAAACCAGCCCUGCACAUGCCUUGAUCUUAGAUUCAAGCUCUAGAAUCAAGCUUGAAUCAAUUUCAGCAAUGCUAGCAAAUCAAUUUCAGCAAAUCCAUUGCAACUGCCCAGACGAGAACACUUCGUUUUGGCAGCCCCAUCAAAUUAAUACAGUGGCUGUGAAUGAGGGUCCUGAGGGGAAUAGUCAGGCCUAUACAUGCAGGAGUCCUGCAGACUGUGACCUGAUUUUACCCUGUAGGUGAGCUCAUUCCAUGGGAGGGCCUGGUGGGUGUUGGAGAAGCAGCUGUGGAUAGAGGUGAGCAUCUUGGGAGGGCUGCGUGGAGACAUCUACUCGUGUGUAUAAAGGAGGGUGAGGGACAGAAAGGGCCCAGUGGACACUUGGAGUGUGGCAUGGAUGACCAAACUACCCUGAAGUUGGUAUGAAAGAGAUCAGACAAAAUAUUGGCCUCCCGUUCAGGAUUUCUGUCACUGAACCACUGGCACAGCCACCUCCCUCCUCCUUAUCUCCUCCACAUGCCCCAUGCAGGCCCAGACCGAAGUUCCGUGGGGUCCCCUACACUCCACGGCUCACCACAUCAUGCUCAUCUCCAGCCGGUCCCUCUGCCUGGAGGUCUCACUCCUUUCCCACAUCUGCUAGGUGAAGUCCUUCUCAUGCUCCAAAGCCAGCUCAGUGUCCCCUUGUCCACGAAAACUUGACUCCUCAGAGGUUCAUGCUCUCUCUCUGUCCAUCUCUAUCUGAGCUGCUCUACCAUUUUGUGCACCCAGGCUCAUGUGACAAUUGAGUUAAACAGCCUGCGAUGACCCCCAGCACAGUGCUUCAAUGUGUGACACGCAGCAGAGACCACAGUGAGCCCACCCCUGACCCCUCACACAGAAGCUGCUUUGUGACUGUUUGCUGAGUAAAGUUUGGACAGUGCUGGACCUUGGCCUUCUGUGUGAGACACAGACAGGGCUUCCCUGUGACCUUGGACAGGCUGGGUAAACCUCAAGAGAAUUAUUUGCCAAGACAGGCAAGGCAUGAUGCAAAGGAAAGCACAUAGGAGUGGAUGACCCUACGAAGGGGCCCCGUCCUAAAGAGCCACCCUGACCCCACAGCACAAUUGCAGAUAAAUGUCUGAAUCUGGUUGCAGCCAUCUGCCCUGCCACCAGCCCGCACAUGGGCCAUCUGGGCUCUCAGAUCCUGGGCCCUCACUGUCACCAGCUGUGGGACCCUGGGAAAGCACUUAUGUCCUUGUCUGUAAAACGGGAACAAUAACAGACCUUGCUGGGUUGUUAAGGGAUGGGUGAUAUCACAAGUGCAAAGCAUCUGGCGUGGGCUGGUGCAUGGUGGGGGCUCAAUACUUUGGGGAAUGGACAAGGCUUGGGGUCCUGACCUUGUUACCUCUAGUGGGCACUCAUCUCUGAUACAGUCCAGACUCUAGAAUCAGAGGGUGGGGCACAGCCUCAUGGAAGCAUGCUUAGAACAUGGAGGGUGGGGUGGGCAGGCACACAGAGAGUCAGACGUGGUUGCAGCGAAGGACUCACUCACCCAUUUAUUCCGUUAUUGAGUGUCUGAUCCUCUUCAUUUGACAGAUGAGGAAACACAUCGUGCUUGGUGAAGGUAGGCAGGGAACUUACCUGGCUACUGGGUAGCCGGUGCCUGAGAUGCCGCUGAAUGAAGCUUCUGCUCCUGGUCAUCUCUCUUCCACAGCACAGAGUACAGGACUGAGUAUAGGGCUCUGGGCCACACUCUCCCCACCAAAUUCUGGCUGCACUACUUAGGAGAUAUGUGACUGGGAGUCUUAUGAGGGGUAAAUGCGACCAUCCAGGUGAAGGGCCAGGUACCCGGCCUGGAGCAUGGUAAGCAAUCAAUGUCACCAUUCCCAGAGCUGCCUCUAUAAAGACAGUUAUAACCAGUGUUUGCAAAAUGCUUUAUUGUUAAUGCCAACAUAAAAUUCAAAAAGUUAGUCAUUGGCACCUGCAAUUGAUACUCUACUAUUCGCAACAGGCUUCCCUUCUUCCACUCCCAGCCAGGCCCAUAAGAUUAUAACUAUAUCCACAAGACGAUAUAAUCAAUCAUUAAAUGGGCCAUUUCCACCUUGAUAUCCAGAUGUUUUUCUUAAAGGAUGAAUGGUACUUGAGUGUAUUGAAAUCAACCAUGAUUGACAGGGCACACCCCAGCCUUUCUAUAUGAUUUCAGGAGUUCUUGGAUCACAGCAAGAAU